GCUGAUUAGCUUUUUGCAGAAGGACCAAGGAAAGCUGGCAGGGAGGAUUCUUAGUAGAUCUUGGUCUCAUCAUGAUUUAGAAAUUAGAACUAUAUUUACAAUGAGUUUUCUUAAUAUUAGCAUGUACAAAAAUCUAAUAACACUGGUAGGUGCUUAUAUUUUGAUCAAUCCAAAUGGGCAUAACUUUUGUACCUAAAUAUUCUGAUGGUAGUUGUAGAUGUAAGGUGUUGAUUCUUUUUCCCUUGAAAUUAAAUACCCACUCAACAUUGAGUAAAAAUAUGUUUUUAUGUAUUGAUUACUUUCAGAUAAGAUGUUAAACAACUUUGGAUGUCAUGGAAGAACAAAAAUACUAAUCUGCAUAGCAAUCACCCUCUCAAUCCUGGAACCCUUUGGAUCAGAGUUCAAGCCUUGAAUGUGAUGGUUCUUUCUAUACUAACAGAGACAUCAUCAAAGAUCUACAGAGUACAAUCCUUGUGCCAGAUAACAGCACAUAUCAUGCCAGUGACCCUACCCUGGCUGAAUGCUGAGCCAUUUAGUGUUCUUGCAAGCCUUAAUAUAUCUCCCUUUGGGUAUGUUUGCUAAUGCAAGCCUUAAUAUACAAGGCUAGUUUAUAGCUUAAUUUUUGUGGAAUACCACCUUGCAGGUAGUCCACAAAAUCCAGAUUCCUGACAAUCUAACAUGCUGCUCCAUUCAGAGUAUCCUGAACAUUCAUCUAAGAUAUUUUGGUCCCAAUUACCUCAUCCUGAACAUUCAUCCAGGUUAAAAGGAAGUAUUUAACCUUAUAAUUAUCAAAGGUUAAUCUGAAUAUGACUGCUUAGCAGCUAAAUAUAGGGGUAACUGACCAUAUUGGGAUUUUGCACCAUCUAUAUAUUAAUGAUGAUCGAAAAUUGCUACCAAAAAGAGAGACAUUUGUACACUAUCAUUUUGUUAAUGAUCACAAUAUGCAUUUGCACAGCACUGUUAAUUGUUUUACAUGCACCUCCUGACCUACCCUCACUCACUUAGUCCUUUUGAAGAUUUAUCAGACUUGUUCAUCCCAUUUACCAAAAGACGGUGUAUUUGCAUACUUUAAUUAUGUAAUUGCCUACUCAUUUUGAGCGUUUUGUAAAGCAGCUAUAUAUCUCAACAGAUCUUUCAGAGCUGUGUUCUUCCAUCAAAACCACAAGAAUGGAGAACUCCAGAUUUGAGUGAUUCUCUUUCUCUGAUCUCCAUAAAUGAACCAGAGAGCUACAUACUCUGUGCUGCCUCAAUGUGGACAAUAUGGAAGGACUAAAACUGGUAAGUUCUUUUCUGCCAGUUUGAUCUCACUAAAGGUUUAGCAAAGAAGAUUACAUAUCAUUUCCCAGCAUGUUUAUAGCCUUCAUUAAAAACAAAUUAUCAAAAACUUAAUUACUAUCUUUUGACUGAUGGAUGUUUAUAGGAUAAUAUAAUUUAUGUUCUACAAGGAAGGACAGAUUGGAUCUAGCUACCAGUACUGCAACCAAUGUUCAAACCUACUACUUCCAAACAACAUGUGAUGUAAAAGACCAAGUCCCUGUCCCUGGAAUCUUGCAAUACUUUAAAUCCAUGGAUAAGCUCUUGCUGAGCAAGUCACCACAGAGUUUCUCUCUUGAGCUCUCAGAUUCGUCACAUCUCUUCAACUCUUUCACCAGGUUUUCCAAGCCAUGCUCCAGUGGCACAUGUUUGAGUGCCACCUCCCCUCUGCUGACUGCUCCUGAUAGCCUACUCCUUGAUUCACCAUUGAUCAUAGAGCUGAAUGAUCAUUCAACUAAAAAUCUACCCAAAUUCAUUUGCAGUAAAGCAAACAAAACCCCUGCACUCGAUGCCGGAUCUCUUGAUGCAGGUAUCAAGCCUUCUUAUGUGCAGCAACAUAAGCAGGUAUGGUUUCUUCACAUCUAUGUAGCAU
rnacentral:lncRNA from 1 species